ACCUGGGAUAGCUCAGUCUGUAGAGCAUGAGACUCUUAAUCUCUGGGUCAUGGGUUGGAGCCCCACAUUGGGGG
rnacentral:tRNA from 1 species